GACGAACGCUGGCGGCGUGCUUAACACAUGCAAGUCGAACGGAAAGGCCCUGCUUUUGUGGGGUGCUCGAGUGGCGAACGGGUGAGUAACACGUGAGUAACCUGCCCUUGACUUUGGGAUAACUUCAGGAAACUGGGGCUAAUACCGGAUAGGAGCUCCUGCUGCAUGGUGGGGGUUGGAAAGUUUCGGCGGUUGGGGAUGGACUCGCGGCUUAUCAGCUUGUUGGUGGGGUAGUGGCUUACCAAGGCUUUGACGGGUAGCCGGCCUGAGAGGGUGACCGGCCACAUUGGGACUGAGAUACGGCCCAGACUCCUACGGGAGGCAGCAGUGGGGAAGAUUGCACAAUGGGCGGAAGCCUGAUGCAGCAACGCCGCGUGCGGGAUGACGGCCGUCGGGUUGGAAACCGCUUUCGCCUGUGACGAAGCGGGAGGGACGGUAAUGGGUAAAGAAGCACCGGCUAACUACGUG
rnacentral:rRNA from 1 species